UACAGAGGGGGCUAGCGUUAAUCGGAAUUACUGGGCGUAAAGGGCGCGCAGGCGGUCAUGUGAGUGGGAUGUGAAAGCCCCGGGCUUAACCUGGGAAGUGCAUCGGAAACGGCAUGACUGGAGUGGAUGAGAGGGAGGCGGAAUUUCCGGUGUAGCGGUGAAAUGCGUAGAGAUCGGAAGGAACGUCAAUGGCGAAGGCAGCCACCUGGCAUCAUACUGACGCUGAGGCGCGAAAGCGUGGGGAGCGAACAGG
rnacentral:rRNA from 1 species